AAUAGAUACCCGGGUAGUCCGCGCCGUAAACGAUGAAUACUAGGUGUGGGGGUUGUCAUGACCUCCGUGCCGCCGCUAACGCAUUAAGUAUUCCGCCUGGGGAGUACGGUCGCAAGAUUAAAACUCAAAGGAAUUGACGGGGGCCCGCACAAGCAGCGGAGCAUGUGGUUUAAUUCGAAGCAACGCGAAGAACCUUACCUAGACUUGACAUCUCCUGAAUUACUCUGUAAUGGAGGAAGCUCUUCGGAGCAGGAAGACAGGUGGUGCAUGGUUGUCGUCAGCUCGUGUCGUGAGAUGUUGGGUUAAGUCCCGCAACGAGCGCAACCCUUAUUGUUAGUUGCUACCAUUUAGUUGAGCACUCUAGCGAGACUGCCCGGGUUAACCGGGAGGAAGGUGGGGAUGACGUCAAAUCAUCAUGCCCCUUAUGUCUAGGGCUACACACGUGCUACAAUGGCUGGUACAGAGAGAUGCAAUACCGUGAGGUGGAGCCAAACUUUAAAACCAGUCUCAGUUCGGAUUGUAGGCUGAAACUCGCCUA
rnacentral:rRNA from 1 species